GACGAACGCUGGCGGCGUGCUUAACACAUGCAAGUCGAACGAAGAGCGAUGGAAGCUUGCUUCUAUCAAUCUUAGUGGCGAACGGGUGAGUAACGCGUAAUCAACCUGCCCUUCAGAGGGGGACAACAGUUGGAAACGACUGCUAAUACCGCAUACGAUCUAAUCUCGGCAUCGAGGAUAGAUGAAAGGUGGCCUCUACAUGUAAGCUAUCACUGAAGGAGGGGAUUGCGUCUGAUUAGCUAGUUGGAGGGGUAACGGCCCACCAAGGCGAUGAUCAGUAGCCGGUCUGAGAGGAUGAACGGCCACAUUGGGACUGAGACACGGCCCAGACUCCUACGGGGGGCAGCAGUGGGGAAUCUUCCGCAAUGGACGAAAGUCUGACGGAGCAACGCCGCGUGAGUGAUGACGGCCUUCGGGUUGUAAAGCUCUGUUAAUCGGGACGAAAGGCCUUCUUGCGAACAGUUAGAAGGAUUGACGGUACCGGAAGAGAAAGCCACGGCUAACUACGUG
rnacentral:rRNA from 1 species